UACAGAGGUCUCAAGCGUUGUUCGGAUUCAUUGGGCGUAAAGGGUGCGUAGGUGGCGAGGCAAGUCAGAUGUGAAAUCCCGGGGGCUCAACCCCCGGAACUGCAUUUGAAAACUGCCUUGCUCGAGUACUGGAGAGGAGACUGGAAUUUACGGUGUAGCAGUGAAAUGCGUAGAUAUCGUAAGGAAGACCAGUGGCGAAGGCGAGUCUCUGGACAGUUACUGACACUGAGGCACGA
rnacentral:rRNA from 1 species